rnacentral:lncRNA from 1 species
UACACCGAGUGGUAUCAAAAAGACUUGAGAUGGUGGUGUCCUGGCCAGAUAUCCCCAACAAUUGGUAUCAGAGUCAGGUGGUAUCAGUAUGAGGUUGCGGCGGUGGUGAGCAAGAUUGAAGAUGGAGAAGAUAGGUACAAUCAACAUGGAAAUCGAUCGCAGAGAGUUGAUUGAUGCUCUCUUAUGCAAGAAGGAGCCAUCUACAUAGAGGAUGCCAGCGAGAGCCCUAUAUGAGGUGGAGCUUCAGGUGGAGAUGGAUUAGGCAUGGGAUGAG